rnacentral:rRNA from 1 species
UACGUAGGUGGCAAGCGUUGUCCGGAUUUACUGGGUGUAAAGGGCGUGUAGGCGGAGCUGCAAGUCAGAUGUGGAAUCCCGGGGCUCAACCCCGGAACUGCAUUUGAAACUGUAGCCCUUGAGUAUCGGAGAGGCAGGCGGAAUUCCUAGUGUAGCGGUGAAAUGCGUAGAUAUUAGGAGGAACACCAGUGGCGAAGGCGGCCUGCUGGACGGUAACUGACGUUGAGGCUCGAAAGCGUGGGGAGCAAACAGG